rnacentral:miRNA from 1 species
CUGCUCAGCCCCGCCCACCCCA